AGUGAACGCUGGCGGUAGGCCUAACACAUGCAAGUCGAACGGCAGCACAGUAAGAGCUUGCUCUUACGGGUGGCGAGUGGCGGACGGGUGAGGAAUACAUCGGAAUCUACUUUUUCGUGGGGGAUAACGUAGGGAAACUUACGCUAAUACCGCAUACGACCUACGGGUGAAAGCAGGGGAUCUUCGGACCUUGCGCAAUUGAAUGAGCCGAUGUCGGAUUAGCUAGUUGGCGGGGUAAAGGCCCACCAAGGCGACGAUCCGUAGCUGGUCUGAGGGGAUGAUCAGCCACACUGGAACUGAGACACGGUCCAGACUCCUACGGGAGGCAGCAGUGGGGAAUAUUGGACAAUGGGCGCAAGCCUGAUCCAGCCAUACCGCGUGGGUGAAGAAGGCCUUCGGGUUGUAAAGCCCUUUUGUUGGGAAAGAAAAGCAGCAGGUUAAUACCCCGCUGUUCUGACGGUACCCAAAGAAUAAGCACCGGCUAACUUCGUG
rnacentral:rRNA from 1 species